GGCCUGCGUCGGCUGCUUCUUCAGUGGACAUUCUCUUGCCAUCCCAGUCUAUCUUUGACACCUUCAUUAAAGAGGUCUUAAAAUGGAAAUACCAAAUGUUUUUGAACUUUGAUAAGUGUGGUGCUCCAACAAGUCUCUGUCAGUCUAUCUCAAGACCUGUGCCUGUCCGAUUUCAAGAUUGUGCAGAAUAUUUUAAUGUUUUUCUACCUUUGAUAAUAUUGAAUGCUUUUGAAACAGUGGCACAGGAAUGGCUGAACUCUCCAAAUAAAGAGAAUUUCUAUCAGUUGCAUUUACGAAAAUUUCCAGCCGACUAUAAAAAAUAUUGGGAAUUUCUGAUUUACCUGGAGGAAUCUGAACUCGCUAAACAGCUUCAUCCAAAGGAAAAUGAUCUGGUGUUUUUGGUUCC
rnacentral:lncRNA from 1 species